rnacentral:rRNA from 1 species
UACGGAGGGUGCAAGCGUUAUCCGGAUUCACUGGGUUUAAAGGGUGUGUAGGCGGGUCUUUAAGUCAGUGGUGAAAUCUCCGAGCUCAACUUGGAAACUGCCAUUGAUACUAUUGAUCUUGAAUUCUGUUGAGGUUGGCGGAAUAAGUCAUGUAGCGGUGAAAUGCAUAGAUAUGACUUAGAACACCGAUUGCGAAGGCAGCUAACUAAACAGAUAUUGACGCUGAGGCACGAAAGCGUGGGGAUCAAACAGG